rnacentral:lncRNA from 1 species
CUCGGCGCCUGGUGAUGCUGCUGCUUCUUUUUUUCCUUUCCUUCCCUGCCCUCCAAAUGCUCCCCCGGACGCACUGAUGAACGGUUUCUCAUCCGAUUCCGCGGUUCAAGAGGACGCAGAUGGAAAAUCCAAUCUUACGCAGCGGGGAUGGAUUAUUGGGUUUUGCCUUCCGCAGUUUCAUGGUAAAAAAUCCCGUUAAAUCUGCCCGCUAGGAGCACCCACAGGUUUUAACCCGGAGCGCGGAGGAAUGGCAGUGUCCUCAGGUAGAGCAGACGGGCAGCGUGCACCAUGAUGGAGCGUGCCUGCAAGGUGCAGCUCUUCGUGUGUAACAACAGGUUUAAUGGAGCAAUAAAGCAAAAGCAGGUUCUGAAUCCUUAUGUAGAUCGAUUGAUGGAGCUCCUGGAUCGGGGCACAGACCAGGCUGAUAGCACUGAUCCUCAUGCUGAGGAAAAGGGGAGCUUACUUGUCCCUGGAGCAUUAAGUGCUGGCUGUUAUCAGCGGUAGAACACCACACAGAUUCUGUGGGGUCCUGACCUGGAAAGGAGAACGCGGUCAGGGACUGCUGGCAGAGGUGACCCUGGGGAGGGAGGAGGUCCAUCAUCCCAUCAGCAUCGCUCCAGGCUGGGCACAGCCCGGCUCCUGGCACACACGUUGGUUUGCUGUAAGCCCGGUGGGCAUCCUGCUGCACUGCUCUGCAGGCAGUUCUACCGUGUGGUCAUCUGACCUUGGCAAGGUCGAGUGCCAUUGGGAACCUCGUAUUUCUUCAUGCUCAAGUGAAAAGCAGUCAGUUUAAGACACAGAACGUGCAUUCUCUGUCCUCGUAAGCACAGUGUCUGCUCUCCUGCUUUCUCCUUCGGUCGGCCCCAGGGCUCAGCUCCAUCUUAGCAUGGUGCAGCCAUGCCUUGGCCCCAGGCUGCCAGGCUGAGCCCUGGGCAUCCCCAUGCUACCCAGAACCCACGGGUGAUGCUGAGCUUUGCACGUGCUGAUUGCACAGCAGCAACAGCCAGAGCUGGCUGCCUGCAAGAAGCCGGGUGCUGAUUGCAGAGAGCUCAGCUGUGCAGAGGGCUGCAGCAGGAGGUGCUGCUCAGGCCGUCAGCCUGUGGCAACCCUGGCUCCUCUGUUUCAGCACUUCUGGUACAGAUGGAGCUGAUUCGAACCUGGGCUUUCAAUAACAAAAAUGCUUCUCUGGGAGCUGGACUCGAUGAUCCAGCUGGGGGUACCCUGAUUCUGUGAUGCUCUUUUGAGGGCCACCCGGUUUUGCCUGCACAGCCCUGGCUGCAGGGCGAUGCGUCCCCUGGCACGUACUGUCAGUGAAGGGCAGCAUUAACCAGCCCGGGUGGCACAUGCUGUAUUUCACUGGGAUGUAAAUCUGAAACAAAUCCUGUAUGAGUGGCACUCAGUUAAAAAGACAUUGCAUGCAAAGAGCCUGAUCCUGAUGCCUCCAAGUCAGUGUCAGAAGUCUUAUUGACUCCAGGAGAUUCAGGAUGUGCCAGAGGGAGAACAAGUGGCUGAAGGUGCACAGAUUUGCACUAGCUGUUAGUAGAGCUCUGACACUAAAAUUCCCAUGGCUCUACUUACAUUCUUUUUGCUAUACUUUGCACUCUGACUACUUUUACAUUAAAACUGCUCUUUGAUUCAUUUCACAUCGGGUUACUUCUCCAUUUGCCUCCAUACAAAAUGAACUCUAGCCGUGUUUUGAGAUAAGGAUGUGUCCAGCUGGAGAGAGGACAAUACCCUUAGAGCAAAACUCUUGCUGGUACCCACUUGUGCUUUGGGAUGCAUUGCGUCAGCAUCCACGGUCUGGAUUCCCUUUGGAUAAAAGUAAAUCAGAAGCUAUCCUCCAACCAGCAGCUCAUCCUCACACACAGGAGAACUCAAGAUUGAAGUCCCAUUAAAACGUGGAUAACAUGAAGGUCAGGACCUCAGUUCCAGCUCUGUCACCUCACCGUGCAGCACACGUUGCCCUGCCUGCCCCAGGCAGCCUGCAGGUAGCAUCAGCCACCGUCAGCUGGUAACUUCUGNUCCAGUUUAAACAUCACCACACAGCUUUAUGGCAG